ACGCGGCGAGACGCGAAUGCAUGCUUUUAAUUGGCCAAGUACACACAAGUCGCCAUUUACGACAGUCGUAUGUAACGUACCAUAGACAGUGGCUUGUAUAUUAUUCAUCCCGAGAGCGGUCCAGCGUGCAUUUCAGUUUGCUCUAAUUGGAGAGAGCGUAUCGUCAAGGCAAAGUGCAUUAACAGGGAAGAUAAAGUGAGCCAAGUUCCAUUGGCAAAAUUGAGAAUGCAAAAUUUUUAUCCGUACUGUAUAUGUAUAAGCGCAUCUCGAAGUUGUAGAAACGAACGAAGAAAGGGGAUCCAGUGCACAUCACAUUGUCGGCAUCCUCUAAUUGGAGAGAGCGUAGCGAGAAGCAAAGUGCAUAACGAGCGAACAGCGGGUAGGAGGAACGUGGAAUGCUGGUGCAAUUGCCUAGCAGCAGCAGAUGCAGCGGGUCUUAUCUCAUGUGGGAAAACGUGGGCGACGAAAAGGCGCGUUUAUCUUAAAUGUUUAAAUUGUGUUGACGUCAGCACGAAAUCCCGUCGAGCGAACGCAAGAAGGCGUAAAUUUGUUAGGGAUCUUUUUAGUGGACAAAAAAAUAAAGUAUACAUAUAUAUAAAUAAGGACGGAGAAACAGCUAUGAAAUUUGUGGUCUUAAAGGAAAAAAAAUUGUUAUAAAAAUUAAUUAUCUACAGAAAUAAUGCACGUUGGUAGGUGAUAUUAUGAUCUUGGAAUUUUAAGUGAAAAAUAGUUACGGAAACAUUUGAUAGUCUUUAAGGACGAUUUACAAGUUAAAUUUGACGUAGUCGCUCCGUGCUGUUCAACCAAGUCCACACCCUUAUGUCGCAAACGGGUAUUAGAAAUGCUGCGGGUGUGCCAUGGAACACCAGUCACGUUUCUCAACAGAGACGCAUCCUCGUUUCCAGACUAGAUGGCGACAGAGUUUCCCUGUAAUCCUUGACGACUUACGCUAAGAAUUCCUAGCGAUUUUUCAAUGAUCGUACAGAAAUAAUACAAAGUUUAAUGACACGAUCGAAUCAUGUAAAUUUUUCAUUUACAGAACAACCAAAAUACUCGCGUUUCCUGCUGACCAUUCAUAAGCAUAUAGAAAUAUUAGAAAGUGAUGGAAAAUUCUAAAGUUCUUGCACGACGUAACAAGACUUUUCCUUGUUCAGAAAAAAAAAAAAAAAAAUUGCAUAAAACAGUUCGCGAGAUAAUCGUUACACUCGAUAAAUCUUCGAGCAAUUCAGAAAGCCGGAAACCCAAGAAAAUUCUAAUCCAAUGAAUCACAUGGAAUUUCAACGUUUCCGGGUAGUCGCAUUAGUAAAAAUGUUUUUCAUUCAACGACAAUGGUGUAAAGUGGGUUAGCGAUGAAUGUCAACAACGUUGAAUCGAAAGGUACCCGGUGGUAACGUCUAAUUAGGAAUAUUCUUAAUGGUCCUUAAUGAGUUUCUUAUCAGUUAUCACUGUAACUUAAAACACACCGAUCGUAAUUUGUCACAAGUAUAAAUUGUCCUGGGUCCUACGUAAAUACCUAAAGUAUAUAAUAGCUGGUAUGAAAUUUGGUCUAUCGUUGUUCGUAAUGUCAAUGCUACGGACUGAUCUAUUAAUAGGUUCCAUUAACCUGUACCAGUGAGAAGAUAUCUCAGUACACGAAAGGUAUUAAGUGAACACACAAUAAAUAAUGUAACCGUCUCCCAGCCCGCAUCCGCUCCACAUAGUCGUUACAAUAUCUAUAGCGUCCCACUAGAGCGCGUUCAUGCGUCCAGCCUUACGAGCAUGGCCGGACAGUUAAGCCUGACUUUCUUGGGUGCGAAGGGAAGAACCAACGGAGAUGAAAUAUAAGAAAAUGAUUGAAAGUGAGAAUUAAAAAAAAAAAA